rnacentral:rRNA from 1 species
GACGAACCGUGCGAACGUUAUUCGGAAUCACUGGGCUUAAAGGGCGCGUAGGCGGGUCCGUCAGUCAGGGGUGAAAGCCCACGGCCCAACCGUGGAAGUGCCUCUGAUACUGCGGGCCUCGAGGGGGGUAGGGGCGUGCGGAACUCAGGGUGGAGCGGUGAAAUGCGUAGAUAUCCUGAGGAACACCGGUGGCGAAAGCGGCGCGCUGGACCCCUUCUGACGCUGAGGCGCGAAAGCCAGGGGAGCAAACGGG